UACUGCAUUUUUUCUUACACAUGUGUUUUUCUUUUUUUGAAAACUUUGCUUUGGUAGGGUCGUUGGGGCCUGCCAGAGAUUAAACUCAACCAAAUUUAAAUUGAUAUCAACCGAUUAUUUAAUAGUCAAAACUUUCAACAACGGAUCUCUUGGUUCUCGCAUCGAUGAAGAACGCAGCGAAAUGCGAUAAGUAAUAUGAAUUGCAGAUAUUCGUGAAUCAUCGAAUCUUUGAACGCACAUUGCGCCCUUUGGUAUUCCAAAGGGCAUGCCUGUUUGAGCGUCAUUUCUCCCUCAAACCCUCGGGUUUGGUGUUGAGCGAUACGCUGGGUUUGCUUGAAAGAAAGGCGGAGUAUAAACUAAUGGAUAGGUUUUUUCCACUCAUUGGUACAAACUCCAAAACUUCUUCCAAAUUCGACCUCAAAUCAGGUAGGACUACCCGCUGAACUUAAGCAUAUCAAUAAGCGGAGG
rnacentral:rRNA from 1 species